rnacentral:rRNA from 1 species
UACAGAGGCCUCGAGCGUUAGGCGGAAUCACUGGGCUUAAAGCGUGUGUAGGCGGACUUCUAAGUACCUUGUGAAAUCCCACGGCUCAACCGUGGAACUGCUGGGUAUACUGGUUGUCUUGAGCCAACUAGGGGCGAGCGGAACAGACGGUGGAGCGGUGAAAUGCGUAGAUAUCGUCUGGAACGCCGAAGGUGAAAACAGCUCGCUGGGGCUGCGCUGACGCUGAGACACGAAAGCCAGGGGAGCGAACGGG